GACGAACGCUGGCGGCGUGCUUAACACAUGCAAGUCACGGGGGCUCGCAAGAGCAACCGGCGAACGGGUGCGUAACACGUGAGCAACCUGCCGGUCUGAGGGGGAUAGCCGGCCCAACGGCCGGGUAAUACCGCAUACGUUCUCGAGGGGGAGUCCUCUUGAGAAGAAACCUCCGGGGCAGAUCGAGGGGCUCGCGGCCUAUCAGCUAGUUGGUGAGGUAACGGCUCACCAAGGCANCGACGGGUAGCUGGUCUGAGAGGAUGGCCAGCCACAUUGGGACUGAGAGACGGCCCAGACUCCUACGGGAGGCAGCAGUGGGGAAUCUUGCGCAAUGGCCGAAAGGCUGACGCAGCGACGCCGCGUGUGGGAUGAAGCAUUUUCGGUGUGUAAACCACUGUUGCCCGGGACGAACAUCCUCUUUCGAGAGGACUGACGGUACCGGGUGA
rnacentral:rRNA from 1 species